rnacentral:rRNA from 1 species
UACGAAGGGUGCAAGCGUUACUCGGAAUUACUGGGCGUAAAGCGUGCGUAGGUGGUUUGUUAAGUCUGAUGUGAAAGCCCCGGGCUCAACCUGGGAAUGGCAUUGGAAACUGGCUUGCUAGAGUGUGGCAGAGGGGGGUGGAAUUCCGCGUGUAGCAGUGAAAUGCGUAGAGAUGCGGAGGAACACCGAUGGCGAAGGCAGCCCCCUGGGCCAACACUGACGCUCAGGCACGAAAGCGUGGGGAGCAAACAGG